rnacentral:misc_RNA from 1 species
GUGAAUCAUCGAAUUUUUGAACGCAAAUUGCACUCUCCUCGGAGAGUAUGCCUGUUUGAGGGUCAGCCUAUAAAAAUUGACAUCGUUGCUGUUUCUCGGUUGCGUUCGUCGGAAAUUGGGUCAUCUUAAAUUUUUUGUUUUUAGCCUGCUUAAAAUUUCCUUUUUGUUUCCAUGAUCGUUCUAAAGUUUUUUUUUUUUACACUUUUAAGUUAUGG